rnacentral:rRNA from 1 species
UACGUAGGGUCCGAGCGUUGUCCGGAAUUAUUGGGCGUAAAGGGCGCGUAGGCGGUUUGACAAGUCUGAUGUGAAAUCUAUGGGCUCAACCCAUAGCCUGCAUUAGAAACUGUCGGGCUUGAGUAUGGGAGAGGUGAGUGGAAUUUCCGGUGUAGCGGUGAAAUGCGUAGAUAUCGGAAGGAACACCUGUGGCGAAAGCGGCUCACUGGACCAUAACUGACGCUGAGGCGCGAAAGCUAGGGGAGCAACAGG